rnacentral:rRNA from 1 species
AACGCGAAGAACCUUACCUACCCUUGACAUGCCAGGAACUUACCAGAGAUGGUUUGGUGCUCGAAAGAGAGCCUGGACACAGGUGCUGCAUGGCUGUCGUCAGCUCGUGUCGUGAGAUGUUGGGUUAAGUCCCGCAACGAGCGCAACCCUUGUCGUUAAUUGCCAUCAUUAAGUUGGGCACUUUAGCGAGACUGCCGGUGACAAACCGGAGGAAGGUGGGGAUGACGUCAAGUCCUCAUGGCCCUUACGGCCAGGGCUACACACGUACUACAAUGGUCGGUACAGAGGGUUGCAAUACCGCGAGGUGGAGCCAAUCCCAGAAAGCCGAUCCCAGUCCGGAUUGGAGUCUGCAACUCGACUUCAUGAAGUCGGAAUCGCUAGUAAUCGCAGAUCAGCUAUGCUGCGGUGAAUACGUUCCCGGGUCUUGUACACACCG